ACGACAGGCCGUCCCAUCGCGCGUGCCGCAAGGUACGCGAGGAAAGUCCGGGCACCGCAGGGCGCCGUACUUCCUAACGGGAAGGGGCGUGGGAGGUAUCUCCUGCGCCACAGACAGUGCAACAGAAAACAACCGCCGCCCCGCUUGCGGGGCGGUAAGGGUGAAAAGGCGGGGUAAGAGCCCACCGUCGCCGUGGCGACACGACGAGCCGUGCAAACCUUACGGGGUGAAAUGCCGCGUAUACCGAAAAGCCCUUCGGGGCGGAGUGCUGCCCGUGCUCUGUUUUUCGGGGGGUAGGCAGAUAGAGGUUGCGGGCGACCGCAAUCCCAGAUAAAUGAUGGGAGCCGACGGGACUUCCCGACGGUACAGAACCCGGCUUACAGGCCUGUCGUUUUU
rnacentral:RNase_P_RNA from 1 species